rnacentral:rRNA from 1 species
UAAAUAGCCAGGCUAGCUUUGGCUGGUCGCCGGCUUCUUAGAGGGACUAUCGGCUCAAGCCGAUGGAAGUUUGAGGCAAUAACAGGUUGGCACACAGGCCUGUAAAAGUAGGUUUUGACCUGCUAGUCUAGCACCUAAUCUCCGUGAAGAAGUCUUCUUCUACCGGGCGGAGAGAUGCGAAAGCAUUCGGUGUGGGCAACACUACCUGGAACAGGGGACGCUGGAGGCCUUUGGGUACUUGGCCGACCCUGUGGCGAGCUCGAGUAACGUUGAGCCGUCGCAACGCGCGCAAAGGAGUGGGCACCGACGGUGCUUAAGGUACGUGCUAUCCGCUGGGUAACCAGUCU